rfam:Clostridium sp. D5 genomic scaffold supercont1.1, whole genome shotgun sequence.
UGAUAGCGUGGAAGCGUGAGGUUGCUGCCGGUUGCGAAGAGCAGGAUGGCAGGUUUUCCGUGGAGCGAAUGUCAAGUUAGGAAACUGGCGACAA